rnacentral:rRNA from 1 species
UGGGGAAUUUUGCGCAAUGGGCGAAAGCCUGACGCAGCAACGCCGCGUGUGUGAUGAAGGUCUUCGGAUCGUAAAGCACUUUCGACCGGGAAGAACAACCCUUGGCUAACAUCCAAGGGUCUGACGGUACCGGGAGAAGAAGCACCGGCUAACUCUGUGCCAGCAGCCGCGGUAAUACAGAGGGUGCAAGCGUUGUUCGGAAUUAUUGGGCGUAAAGCGCGUGUAGGCGGCUUUGCAAGUCGGGUGUGAAAGCCCUCAGCUUAACUGAGGAAGUGCGCCCGAAACUGCUUAGCUUGAGUACCGGAGAGGAUGGCGGAAUUCCCGAAGUAGAGGUGAAAUUCGUAGAUAUCGGGAGGAACACCGGUGGCGAAGGCGGCCAUCUGGACGGAUACUGACGCUGAGACGCGAAAGCGUGGGUAGCAAACAGG